CGCCGCUGCCGUCGGAGGUCGCCGCCGCCGUCGAGCCCUGCAGUAUGCCGCCGCCGUCGACCCUGCAGUUUGCCGCCGAGACCCCCGCAAAAAACCCUAGUUCUUCCUCCCCAAAUCGGACCUCGCCACCUCUCCAACUCGCAGGACGCCUUGACUACUUGCAAUCUUCAGUUUUUCCCUUCCCUGUUUGUUUCUCCUUUUCUCUUCCACCGGUGAAAGAGGGGGGAGAGAGAAUCCAUGCGAAAUCUGUGAUCACUAUCAUAAGCAAGAAGAAACCUGCGGAGUUUGUGGUCAUCGCGUGCCUGUUUCUAUUUCAGCCGACAAAGAAAGUGCCUUUCCUUUUGAGAUUCUCAAGGAUUUUCUCUACUUGGGUAGUUACGACCAUGCAUCAUGGAUUCAAGUUCUCAAGACUUUUGGGAUUUCUCAUAUUCUCAAUGUGGUACAUGCUUCUAGAAAUCUUUACAACAGUACUUUCAUUUAUCACCACCUUCAAGAUGACGAAAGUUCAUUUGAUGAUGAAAUUCAAUUUAUAGGCUGGUAAUCAAGGCCGUUUGCCUGUCUUGAUCGUAAGUGCUCCACGGAGACAGCCAACUAUUGUAUUUUUGCAUAGUUCUUACAAUUGCAAGGAAUGAUUACAUCCAUUACUUGAGAAGGAUUGUUUCUUGCUCAAGGAGUUUCUUUAUACAGGCAUAUGCUUCAAGGGGAUAUAUUGCAGUGGCAAUUGAUUCUCGCUACCAUGGAGAAAGAGCUAGCAACAGGACCACUUACCUAGAUGCUCUGGUCUCAUCUUGGAGAAAUGGUGACACAAUGCCUUUCAUAUUUGACAUGGUAAUAGUUGCUUUAAUGGUUUGAUCCAUCUUGAACUUUGAACUGGCUGGACAUGUUUCAGCUUGGUCUUCAGGUGAAAUAACUGGUGUAGUGGCAGUCCAAACAGGUACUGGCUCUGUGCUGCCACUCAAGAGAGUGAAGAUAUGGAAUCUGGAGAGCAAGUCUAUUGUUCAGGAUCUGAAGCCAACUGAUGCCCCUUAGCCAACUUCAUCCAAAAAACAGGUGCACGAAUUGGAGCUAUGGGUUGUCGUGUUGGAGCUGAUAACUUCAAAUAAAGCAGCCGAUAGAGAAGGGGAAAUACAUUGUUCGUGAGUUGAGAAUGGCAAUGGAUAGUGAAGAUUCAAGCCAGUCUUUUGGAGAGAAGACAUUCCUCUCAAACUCGUAUGGAAGAAAACUCAACAUGAUGUUAUAAUCUGAUACUCUUGGCAAGAAUCACGAAGAAUGGUUAGAAUUAGAUAAUCGAUAGAUUUUUCAAUUUCGAUUUCUCUAUGUUUCUGGUGUGUAAUCUGUUGCAUGAUGAUCAUCUCCAGUAUUUGUGCAUAAUAUUUUUGGUUGA